AUGGGAGGUAAAGACGGAACUGAGGGGAACGAGGACAAUGAUGAUGAUGAAGAAGAAGAGGACGACGAAAAAGAAGAUGACGAAAGAAAGGAGGACGAUGACGAUGAAGAAGGCGAUGGGGAUGACAAAGACAAGGAAGAUGAUGGGCAGGGGAAGCAGGAUGAAGAUGAUGAGGAUGACAGCGGAGGUGGCAACGGUGGUUCAGGUACCAAUGGUGGCUCCGAUCGGGACGGGGAUCCCGCAGCUGAAAAUGCAAGCAGCGAUGAUGAUGAACAAUGCACACUGCAAUUUCUGAUUGAAAAGAAGAGGGACAGAAAGGCAAAAGGAUUGGAUGAGGCAGAUAGGAUAUCUAUCAGAGACAUUGUGAUGACAGAAUUCAAAACUGUUGUUUCCCCAAAACCACGCUUCCCUGUUUUUGAAGUGAAAGAAAUGUUGGAUAUUGAUGACCAAAUAUGCCCAAAGGCAUAUCGUGCCGAAAAUCCCGGUUACGGCCAAGGGGGGAAGUCAAGGCAGUCAGCCAUGAAAAAAUCCGGUCCUCCCCAUCAGCAACAAGAGGCAUUUUCUAAAACAAAAGAGGAUACAAGACCUGCCCGAAGCUGUAACCAUGGGAAAAAGUCCGGAACAAAAGUUGCUAAGAGCCCUAGGGAAAUUGCCUGUCUGCUCAACUGUACUUGCCCAACCUGA
rnacentral:rRNA from 1 species